GAUGAAGAACGCAGUGAAAUGCGAUACGUAAUGUGAAUUGCAAAUUCAGUGAAUCAUCGAGUCUUUGAACGCACAUUGCGCCCCCUGGUAUUCCGGGGGGCAUGCCUGUCCGAGCGUCAUUGCUGCCCUCAAGCACGGCUUGUGUGUUGGGCCCCGUCCUCCGAUCCCGGGGGACGGGCCCGAAAGGCAGCGGCGGCACCGCGUCCGGUCCUCGAGCGUAUGGAGCUUUGUCACCCGCUCUGUAGGCCCGGCCGGCGCUUGCCGAUCAACCCAAAUUUUUAUCCAGGUUGACCUCGGAUCAGGUAGGGAUACCCGCUGAACUUAAGCAUAUCAAUAAGCGGAGGA
rnacentral:misc_RNA from 1 species